CCUGGCGGAGAUAGCGCGGUGGUCCCACCUGACCCCAUGCCGAACUCAGAAGUGAAACGCCGUAGCGCC
rnacentral:rRNA from 1 species